UUACCGUUUUCAUAUUUUAAUCCGCCAAAAAGCCGGAAGAAGAAGAAGCAGCAGAAACUGAGUCCGACUGGUCAGACUUCAGGCGAGCUUUUUGAAACCUCCCCGUCUGCGAUUGGCUAUUAUCGUCUACUUUCGAGGCGAGCCGCAGCUCGUCUCAAACAAGCCUAACUACUUUUUCGUAGUCAGGUGUAGCUCUACAGGUUAACAAGAACUCCUCAAAAUGCGUCCUACAUGCAUACUCCUUUUUAUGUGCGUAACUUUUCUCAUGUGGAUACCUGGAUGCACAGCGCGCUAUGAAGCAAACUGGGGCAGCCUGGAUGCCAGACCCCUGCCCAGGUGGUUCGAUGAAGCAAAGUUCGGGAUUUUCGUCCACUGGGGGGUCUUCUCGGUCCCUGGCUUCGGGCAGUUCAGUGAGUGGUUCUGGCAGCGGUGGCACUCAGAAAAGCAGCCAGAACUAGUGGAGUUCAUGAAGAAAAACUACCCGCCUGGUUUUAAAUAUACCGACUUUGCGCCUGAGUUUCGUGCAGAAUUCUUUGAUCCGGAAAUCUGGGCAGACAUAUUCAAAGCCUCUGGAGCCAGGUAUGUUGUGUUCACAUCCAAACACCAUGAAGGAUUCACAAACUGGCCCUCAGCAGUCUCCUGGAACUGGAACUCAAUGGAUGUGGGUCCUCACCGGGACCUGGUGGGAGACCUGGCUGCGGCUGUCAGGAAAAGGUCACUGCACUUGGGCCUCUACCACUCUAUGUAUGAAUGGUACAAUCCCCUUUACUUGUUGGACAAAGCCUCCGGAUUCCAGUCUCAGAAGUUUGUUGCCAGUAAAACUCUUCCAGAGCUUGUGGACCUUGUAACGACGUACAAACCCGAUCUGAUCUGGUCUGAUGGGGACUGGGAAGCACCAGAUACCUACUGGAACUCCACCCAGUUCCUGGCCUGGCUCUACAACGACAGUCCAGUCAAGGAUGUGGUGGUUACCAAUGACAGGUGGGGUAAGGGCUGCUACUGCAAACAUGGAGGCUACUACAACUGUGCUGAUAGGUACACACCUGGUAAACUUCCAGACCACAAAUGGGAGAAAUGCCAGUCCCUCGACACCCGAUCCUGGGGCUACAGAAGAGACAUGAAGCUGAGCGAAGUCAUGAACCUGCCGUCAAUCGUAAAGGACUUGGUCUACGUGGUGGCAAUGGGAGGUAACUACCUGCUGAAUAUCGGGCCAAUGGCAGAUGGCAUGAUUGCCCCGGUGUUUGAGGAGAGGCUGAGGGAUCUUGGUGCCUGGUUGGGGAUAAAUGGAGAGGCCAUCUAUGCUACCAAACCAUGGAGGGUCCAGAUGGAAAACAGCACUGUGUGGUACACGGCCAAAAACAAUACGGUUCAUGCCAUUAUCCUUCAUUGGCCGUCCAAACAGAUUCUUCAGCUCACAGCACCGAGGAUGACUGGAGCCACAAAUGUUACACUCAUGGACUAUCCUGAUGUACUACUGAAGUGGGAACCACUCACACCAACAGCUGGACUCAGGAUUUUUAUGCCUGCGAUGCCAAAAUCUCUUGGAAAUGCCUGGUGUCUGAAACUGGAGGGAGUAGUCUAACGUCAGAGUUGUGGAUAAUCAAUAUCAAGUCAUUAGGUCAAGAAGGGACUGCACCUUCGCCAAUACAAAAUAAAUAAAUUCUUACUUCUGUACGUAGCACUUAGAAAGAUUUGGCUCAUUCGAAGCCAAUUCAGGAUCACUUAAAAAGGGUUGGCUUAUUGAAAGGUAAUGUACUUGCAGGUUUCUUGCUUUUUAAAUUGUGUUUCUUCCUGUUUGAUUCGUCAAUCACUUUGAAUGAAUCAUUGACUUCCUCAGGUGUCUACUGUAAGGGUAAAGCUGGGCUUCUCCAUAUGAAAAUGUCCUUAAACAAUGUAGAAAGGUCACUCCUACUUGUACUGAGUUUACAUAAAUGUGUUGUGUAUAGAAAUCUAUAAACAAAGAUAAAUGAUGACGUGUAAACUAUAUGUGUGUGUUUGGGUGUUACUUUGAGCUUUUUUCUAUGCCCUUUUUUGUUACAAGAUGUAAUAGUUUUUAUUCAUGGCCUUUCUUUACAUUUGCAUUUGAUGUAAAAAACAUAAAUAACACAAUAAUGCAAAAUGUGUAAACAAGAUAAUCAUACAUAUAAAUAAAUAAAACAAGGACAAAUCUAUCCCUA